rnacentral:rRNA from 1 species
GAUGAACGCUGGCGGCGUGCCUAAUACAUGCAAGUCGAGCGAACAGACGAGGAGCUUGCUCCUUCGACGUUAGCGGCGGACGGGUGAGUAACACGUAGGUAACCUACCUAUAAGACUGGGAUAACUUCGGGAAACCGGAGCUAAUACCGGAUAAUAUUUCGAACCGCAUGGUUCGAUAGUGAAAGAUGGCUUUGCUAUCACUUAUAGAUGGACCUGCGCCGUGUUAGCUAGUUGGUAAGGUAACGGCUUACCAAGGCAACGAUACGUAGCCGACCUGAGAGGGUGAUCGGCCACACUGGAACUGAGACACGGUCCAGACUCCUACGGGAGGCAGCAGUAGGGAAUCUUCCGCAAUGGGCGAAAGCCUGACGGAGCAACGCCGCGUGAGUGAUGAAGGUCUUCGGAUCGUAAAACUCUGUUAUUAGGGAAGAACAAACGUGUAAGUAACUGUGCACGUCUUGACGGUACCUAAUCAGAAAGCCACGGCUAACUACGUG